GAGGAUAUAGCUCAGGGGUAGAGUGCAUGCCUAGCAUGCAUGAGGUCCUGGGUUCAAUUCCCAGUACCUUGA
rnacentral:tRNA from 1 species